rnacentral:misc_RNA from 1 species
UGUCAGUGUAAUGAGGAGAACAG